rnacentral:rRNA from 1 species
GACAGAGGGGGCAAGCGUUGCUCGGAAUCACUGGGCGUAAAGGGCGCGUAGGCGGGAUGGCAAGUCAGUCGUGAAAUCUCUCGGCUCAACCGAGAAACGUCGGCUGAUACUGCCGUUCUUGAGGAAUGCAGAGGAGACUGGAAUUCCCGGUGUAGCGGUGAAAUGUGUAGAGAUCGGGAGGAACACCGGUGGCGAAGGCGGGUCUCUGGGCAUUUCCUGACGCUGAGGCGCGAAAGCGUGGGGAGCAAACGGG